CGUUUUCAUGAUUGUGCUUUAAAACUACCUUUAAAAAAGAAAUAAAAAACCAGCUCUGAACCUAGAAGAAUGACAUUCAGAUGCGUCCUUUUCUCCCUCCCGACUAUCACUUUCUAUCUUCUCUCAAUCUAUCCUCUUAAAACCAAAACCAUCGAAAAGAAACAUUCUUAAAACCAUUUCGCACGCUAAAAAACAAAUAACUCGUUUUAUGCUUUAAAUCGAUACAAGCCCUGUUCUCAGAAGACAAACUAGUUCUUCAAACAGUUUCACCACAACAAUCAAUCUUACAAGCAAAACAUGGCAUAGGGAAAACAAAUGUGAAACAAGCAACGAGCAACCCACAAUAAUAGAUAUGCGAUGCACAAACGGUAUGAAUCUUAGUCCCUCGGUGUUACAGAUGCGUGCAAUGAGUCAGAGUAAGAGAGUAAAGAUGUAAGGAUCUACCAGUUCGGACGUAAAUGAAGAAAAAAAAUAUCGCCAGAGUAACAGUCUUGUUUCUCAAAUGAUUGGGAGUCUCCUCAUAUAGGGCGAAGAUGAGUGGCCCUUCAAUCAUGAGCUGGCAAAUUCUAGCGGAUCUUUCCAUUAGAGAACGGAUCCUUUUUCGAAUUUUGUGUGGUCCUCGAGUGAAGGCAAUACGUACGAAUUUGUUGGUGGAAAGAUCUCUCCAGAUAAGUGGUCCCUCUUGUUGAAUCUUUUAUCAAGUCAUUACCACAGUGAAACAUACGUGUUGUGGUGUCCUUCUUGUUUUCAAAACUUAUCCUUUUUCAUGCUUUUCACAUUCCCUUCCCUUAUUUUACGCAGGCCUUUUUUGUUUUGGAAGUGUCAUGAAGUCGUAACAUGUGUGCACAUGUUUUAAGCUUGUACUCUUUUAACUGUGGAUUCAACUCUUGCACAUUUAGUGUUUCCGCAGGUUAUGCUUAACUGAUGUGAUGAAGAUAUUUAACUCAAUGGCCAUUUGGGCUGCUAUUGAUGAAUUUGAUUCAACCUUAUUGGCUUUGCUUUGCCUAAUGGACCUUAUCGUGGUUGCUUUCCAUUGAUGUACUUGUAAUCUUGUAAAUAAUUGUGGUAGUGAAUACAUGUGCUGGAAAUUCUAAGAAUGACUGCGCUUGGUCCUUGGUGGAAGUUCGACUAAUGUUUUAAUGAGAUGAACGAUAUUGGUGUGCUACCGGUUCUUGUACAGUGUCUAGGAUUUUGCAUCACGGUUGCAGAUUGGUAGGCCUCUUGCAGUACCGUUGACUUUACCAAAGUAGCCUAUGUCGUGACAAUUCCGACACGGAGGGGUUUACAAGCCUGUACCCUGUAUAUCCAUGGCUCCUUGAAACAUGAUGUCUCACCUGCCACUUAUUAUGGGCAAAGCUUGGUGCCUUGGCUAUGCGCAUAAUGUCUGUACUUGAUGACAGUAACAUUUGGUUGUCAUUUGGAUGUUGCUUGGUGUCGUGGCUUUUUGUGUUGUCAUGUUGUAAUUUGAUGGCUAUUGGUUUGCAGGACAUGGUAUUUAUGAUGACUUGGCAUGAAGGUAAUAACUAUCAUCUUGCAGACCCGAUAGUAAAGUUCCAUGAUAAAAGAUGUGACUGUAGGUUGUAGUAUCAUGUUGUGAUAUAAUGGUAAUUUGUUAAAAACCAAUAAUUAACACAAAUUGGAUGUAAUGUUGGAUGGCAUACAUCAUCUUCACUAUAUCUAACUUCUGCAAACUUUGUUAGGGACUGUAUGAUCAAAUCUUCAUGGCUUAUUGUCACCUCUUUGGGUUUUUUUCCAAUAAUUCCUGAGAUACGGUAUAUUGUGGCAGUUCCCUCACCCAAGAGCAAUUAAACUCUAAAGGCUUCACCAUGUGCUUCUUUAGUAUCCCUGUAGUCAUCUUUCUUGCAGGGUAUGUAUUCAUGGGGAAACAAAGGCAAUCCGUCAUGACUAGCACGCUGUAAUUCGUCUCUUGAAUCAUCAACAAAGAAUAAAGUGGAUGAAACGCUAGUUGAUUCACCGUUAAAAGUAACAUGUUUCAUGGUUUGAAUAUUUGUGACAGAAACACCAGGUGGAGGAUAUUGUAAAUAACCAAUAGAUAUUGCCUCAGCAGUUAAAAGAUAUGGUGCAACAUGAGGGUGAAAAAUCCAAAGCUCGUAGAGAUCACCUAGUUUCCAACACAAAAAGUUGAGUAGGAUGCUUCACUUUUCUUGUCAUAGUGCCAUAUGUUCAGCUUGUGGUCUGAUGUGACGGUAAUAAUUUCCCUUUUGGCAUGAAGAGCAAAUGGAAGCAAAUUGGGCGAUAAAAAUAGUGAGAUGUUAUGCACUAUGAUACGUUGGCAUCCCUAAAUCGAACUUCUUGAUCCAAGCUCCCACUAGCAAGUAUAGGUAGAUGUAAUGGAUGGAGCCUAACCACCCAAGACGUCCUCAUAUGGCCCAUUAACACCCAUUAAGCGACGUCCAGUUUCACAAUCGAUUAUCUUUACCGUGUGGUCACCGUGCACAGAUGCAAGAAUUUUUGUCUGGACUAAACAUUGUUGCAAUGGUAGACCUUGAAUGACCAUAACUCGCAAAACCACUUUAAUAAAUAAUGUAACUUAAAUCCUUUCAUGCUUUUUUAAUGUGCAAGACAAAUUUAUGGAAACUUUGGCUAUGAAAGAAAUGAGGGAUGAAUGCAUGAAUGGAGAGAUGAGCUAAUGAUGAAUGUAUGCUUGUUAUUAAAAGAAAGGCAAACAAAUACUCCAUAA